rnacentral:rRNA from 1 species
GAAGUCGGAAUUGCUAGUAAUCGCGGAUCAGCAUGCCGCGGUGAAUACGUUCCCGGGCCUUGUACACACCGCCCGUCACACCAUGGGAGCCGGUAAUACCCGAAGUCGGUAGUCCAACCUCGUGAGGACGCUGCCGAAGGUAGGAUUGGCGACUGGGGUGAAGUCGUAACAAGGUAAC